rnacentral:rRNA from 1 species
UCAGUCGACUCCUACGGGGAGGCAGCAGUGGGGAAUAUUGCACAAUGGGGGGAAACCCUGAUGCAGCCAUGCCGCGUGUGUGAAGAAGGCCUUCGGGUUGUAAAGCACUUUCAGUAGGGAGGAAGGUAGUGUAGUUAACACCUGCAUUAUUUGACGUUACCUACAGAAGAAGCACCGGCUAACUCCGUGCCAGCAGCCGCGGUAAUACGGAGGGUGCGAGCGUUAAUCGGAAUUACUGGGCGUAAAGCGCAUGCAGGCGGCCUGUUAAGUCAGAUGUGAAAGCCCGGGGCUUAACCUCGGAAUUGCAUUUGAAACUGGCAGGCUAGAGUCUUGUAGAGGGGGGUAGGAAUUUCAGGUGUAGCGGUGAAAUGCGUAGAGAUCUGAAGGAAUACCAGUGGCGAAGGCGGCCCCCCUGGACAAAGACUGACGCUCAGAUGCGAAAGCGUGGGGAGCAAACAGGAUUAGAUACCCUGGUAG